UACGUAGGUCCCGAGCGUUGUCCGGAUUUACUGGGCGUAAAGGGAGCGUAGGCGGACUUUUAAGUGAGAUGUGAAAUACUCGGGCUCAACUUGAGUGCUGCAUUUCAAACUGGAAGUCUAGAGUGCAGGAGAGGAGAAUGGAAUUCCUAGUGUAGCGGUGAAAUGCGUAGAGAUUAGGAAGAACACCAGUGGCGAAGGCGAUUCUCUGGACUGUGACUGACGCUGAGGCUCGAAAGCGUGGGGAGCAAACAGG
rnacentral:rRNA from 1 species